UCUCCCCCUCCCCGAUCCACAGCACCCACGCUCCUCCCUCCUCCCUUCCUCCCUCACCCGCCGCCAUGCUCCCUCCCACCUUCUCCUCCUCCUUCUCCGCCCUAGAAGCCCGGCCGCCAACUGCUACUCCUCCACCGCCUCCCCUCUUCCUCCUCCUCACCUUUCAAUCGCUCGCACGCAGGCCACCCGACAACAGGGGCGGUCAGGAAGGCUUCCCAGCCUGAUGGAGGAGCACGCCGCCGCCGCAGGCCGCCUGUCCCGAUCCGCGUCCGUCCCGACGCAGCCUGGCGGAUCUUUCUCGGGAGGCAGCGAGAGUUGCAGGCACAACGGUCGGUGUGCAUGCGCUACUCAACUGGGUCGUCGUGGCCAGGCUUGGUCGUGGCCUCCUGGGCGCGUCAAUGGUCGGCAACGCCUCCUGGUGGCUCAUCAACAUGGCGCAGUUCGUGUACGUCGUCAGCGGCUCCUUCCCGAAGGCGUGGACGGGGUUCUCGCGCAAGGCGUUCGCCAGUCUUUGCGGCUUAGAGAUCUGUUACUACACGACAGUAAUCGACGCCAUGGCCGAGCAAGAGGAUUCCGUUGCUGUGCAUGACCUGGUCUUCAUUUUCUCCGCCUUGGACAGCACCAGCUGAGCUAUAGGUUGUUCGGAUCUGUUGUAUGAGGCAGUAAUGAAUAAGAACAAUAUCAGCCUUUUAAUGUGCAGGUUUAUGACUGCAUUACAUAUCUUGGUGGCUGGCUGUACAUGCCAUUUCAGUAGUUCAAUUAUGCAUUACCUGCAAUUAGUCAAGUGAUUAGUUAUUACCUGUAGUGUCUGGACCUUAUUUGGUUUGGUCAAUUUAGUCAUUCAUCAUCCAUUUUUCUAAAUUUAUUGGUAUUUUUAAUAUGUCAUUUGUGUCAGCACACUAAUGUCACAUCUUGUAAUUGUUUAUCUACCAGGAAAUCAUAUUAUUAAGAUGUCUCUGUUACUAAUGGAUAAUGAGUAAAAACUUCAUUUCUGAAUAUUAUAUGCAAAAACGUCUUCCUUUGUGCUGCCCCUGUGUCUUAGAAAUUCAUAGGGAGGAAGCUCUAGGAUAGAGGGUUUGACUUUUCUUUUCUGUUUUUUUGUAGCAUGAUGUGAUUAAUUUCUCCUGCAGCUAUGUCGUCAUUCCUUCAUUCACCAUAUGCAAAUCCUGGUCUUCAAUUUAUUUUAAUUUCCAUGAGUGACCUGGCAUUACUGUGAUGCUAUGCAAGCUUGGAGUGUAGAGUGAGUCAAAUAUGUAGUAGAUGCACUAAUUUGGCUCAUUGCCUCGCUUCACCAUUGUGUAGGUGCAAAACAUUUUUCCCUUGUGCUGAAUGUUUGCCACUGUUUUCCAUUUUGCUCAUUUUGAUCUAACCAAACGGACCCCAUCAAUUUGAGGUUGUCAUGCAUGUAAUGCUUGGGUAUGCCCUUAUUUGGAUCUAAAUAUAUGGAUGGUUGCUUUUUUUAUCAUUUUCAUCUAUAUACUUCACUUGACUAGCCAUUAGCGUUGUGGGUUGCUACCGAAUGAACAGUUUUUUUUAUUUGCAUUGUUUGUCAUUCUCGUGCUUAUUUUUUUUUAUUUCAGUUUGUAGGGAUUGUACGCUUCACCGUCUAAAAUAAAUCUAGCCAACAGGUGGUUGAGAGGCAUUUUGUGGUGCCACUAUUUUCUUUCAGGUUUAGGCACUUUGACUGCACUAACUUUAGCCAGAUGCUAUUCAGUACAACCUUCAUGUGCACCUUGACAUACAUGGAUAAUCUUGUACGUAAUUCCCUCUUUUUUAUUGAUGUGUGGUUUUAUCUGUGUGAUUAAUUCCAUCUCUUUUUACUUUUUCAUGUUAGGUACUACAUGUACUUUUUGUGAUUUCAAGGGUAAAUUACUAGCCAAUUUUGGUACUAGCCAAAUCAAAGAUUUAUGUCCUAAAAAGGAUUUGCUCAGCUUCAUGCAAUUGAAUUGUUAUCACAUAUUUACGAGCAAGCUCAUAUUUAUAUCUCCAUGAUCUCUUAACAGCGAGAAAAGGAAAGAUAACGGGAACAUCCAGUGAGCACUACUGAUGCCAUCAUGGAAACUCACUGCUCUUGUUUAAUUUUGUUUAUGUAGUCAACAUUUUGAUCAAAGGAUUCUCACGUGUUAGAAAACUGUACUCACAUAAAUCUGAGUAUUGGUCUAUGGAACUGGAGGUAGUGAGUUUCAAUUCUUAUGAAUUAAUGUUUCUUUAUUUAUUUAGAGCUUCUGUUCAGAUCAUUGACGUUUGCAUAUCCCUGUUUGUAGUAUCAUUUUGUGUCUCAUGUUAUGACUGCCAUUUUUUUUCUCUACAACCUGUAAAUUUCGGAUUCAGUUUACUGAUCUCUGAAAGUCAUGUAUAACUUGGCAGAAAUGUUAUCCCUACAAAUUAGAACACCCUUAUUCUUGCAAGGUGGAUUACUACUUCCUUGGAUGUUUUCAGAAAAUAAGUGAAAUGUGCAGACCGACAACAUGGACGGCAGGUCUUGUGGCUCUCAGCACCCUCAACCCCCCACUGACCCUCUCUCAAUUUUGAUCUCUCCUCUACUCUUCUGGGUGGCGGUGAGAGCGGGUGUGAACCGGGAGAGGCGGGAGAGGCGGCCAUAGGAGAUAUAUGAUAGGAAAAGAAUUGCUCUAUGGCGCAAAGGGCGAGAGGGAGCCAACUAUGAUAGGAAAAGAGGAUGCAUGUAGGUAAUCGCAGGGUGGAUGCUUAAUGUUGCUUAUUCAGCAGGGGCUAUCAACCUGUGAUUAUCUACAUGGUAUAUCUAGCCCAUCAAGGUCCUGCACAUGGUAUAUCUAGCCCAUCAAGGUCCUCCAUGGCCAUCGACUUGCUUUCUGCUCGGGCAGGAUUAGAUGCAACCUCCUGUUUGUGAUGCAGUGCCGCCAAAGGCUCGGAUGUAGGUGCGAGUCAACAAUGCCAGUAGUGAGUCGAGAGAAGUGGAGAAGAGGGUCCCUCCAGGCUCCAUACAUGAAUGGUGUAUGUCGAAUGUCUCGGGUAAACUUUUGCUUUUCCUUCAUUUCUUCAUCUUCGAGUCAACAAUGCCAGUAGUGAGUCGAGAGAAGUGGAGAAGAGGGUCCCUCCAGGCUCCAUACAUGAAUGGUGUAUGUCGCAUGUCUCGGGUAAACUUUUGCUUUUCCUUCAUUUCUUCAUGUUCAGUUGAAGAAUCGUCCCUCCACUGUCAUCUUGAAGGGUGGCAUGCGGCAAUGUCGGGGAAAGCAAGGAAGAUGUUCUUGUACAUCAUCGAACAUAUAAACCCUGGUGGCCAAACUAAAUGUUUUAUAUUCCUUUGGGAAACUUUUAAGGAAAUCCCCCCAAACAAAUCAUUCAGGUUAGAAGGAACAACUUUCACAUAGAAAGCACAUUGUAUCAAACUUCAGAUAAGUCUUGAUGCACCCUUCAGGCUGCAUGAUUAAUGCCUGUAAUUUACCUAAGCUAUCAACAAAUGGUUGGUUGCUGAGUUUACAUGCAGUUAUGAAAGUUAGAGCACAUACAUGCUUGAUUUUACUUCCUUUAAUACAAGGCAUUCUAUAAUUACUAAGAACUGAUUUGUUGAAGUGUGCCUCCCUAUUUUGUCCAGAUAACUACUUCAGGUUAGGCGGGAGAAAUAAAAAGGGUAACCAUAGAUAUAUGGUCUAGCAUCACGAGGUUCAGGUUCCUGCUUUUGAUCAACCAUUGCUUCGCUCGAGAGAUUAAAGAAGACUGAAAUAUGGGCUCAAGUGAUUGCUAUGUCUGACCUGCACAAGAAUGCCAAGAAGUCCUCGGAGACGAUGAAGGACAUGUACCUGCACUAUAACGAGAGAUCUGGGCUGCUUCUUUGUGGCUUUCAAACUUGAAAUGUUUGUUUGGAAGUUAGUUUAGUUUUUUGUUUUGGAUUCACAGCUUCUCACAUGUACCAUCCUCUUAGACCUUUAGAUUUCCAAAAAAACUAAAUGAAGAUAUGGUGGUAUGGUCUCAAUAGUACAACUUAAAUAGUUCCAUGCUUUAUAUUUGCUCUCAAAUUUGCUCUUGAAGAAUCAUGUAUCUAUGUUAGAUCCGGUGAGCUUUAUAAUUGCUCUGAAAUUUGUUCUUGAAGAAUCAUGUAUCUGUAUUAGAUCCGGUGAGAAAAUGCGUCUUCCAAGCAGAGGAUGCGGGAGUGUUGGCCACAUUUGAUUUU